GCCUCAUUUAAUUUGGCUGUCCACCUUGCACGCAGUUUGCUGAGGGGUUCAGGCCCCUUUUCUUCCACACGCACAUACAUAUACAAUGAUGUACACUGUGCAAAUGCCAAGCUGGAAAUAAAUAUCAUUUCAGCUGAAAAUGAUGGAGCUACUUCAGACAGUUCACAGCUAAACAUCCUCCCUUUUGGAAGGUAUCUAACCCAAACACGAGAAGAAAACCUUGGUUCUGCUGAAGCUAGUGGAAAAAUUCCCAUUAAGUUCAACGGAGGCCUGCACCAUGUAUUCAUGGCUGGACACACAGUUCUUGGCUGCAGUGGAAAGAAGCUGUCUGGAUAAGAAAGGAAAUGGAAGAUUUGCUACUCGGCAGAGCAGUCAUUCUUCACUGAGCCUCCCUUGUCCUUAGCAA
rnacentral:lncRNA from 1 species